UUGGCUCAGAACGAACGCUGGCGGCGUGCCUAAUACAUGCAAGUCGAACGCUUUUUCUUUCACCGGAGCUUGCUCCACCGAAAGAAAAAGAGUGGCGAACGGGUGAGUAACACGUGGGUAACCUGCCCAUCAGAAGGGGAUAACACUUGGAAACAGGUGCUAAUACCGUAUAACACUAUUUUCCGCAUGGAAGAAAGUUGAAAGGCGCUUUUGCGUCACUGAUGGAUGGACCCGCGGUGCAUUAGCUAGUUGGUGAGGUAACGGCUCACCAAGGCAACGAUGCAUAGCCGACCUGAGAGGGUGAUCGGCCACACUGGGACUGAGACACGGCCC
rnacentral:rRNA from 1 species